UACGUAGGGACCGAGCGUUGUCCGGAAUCAUUGGGCGUAAAGAGCGUGUAGGCGGCUAUUUAAGUCCUGCGUGAAAUCCUGCGGCUCAACCGCAGACGGUCGUGGGAAACUGGAUGGCUAGAGUGCGGGAGAGGAGAGUGGAAUUCCCGGUGUAGCGGUGAAAUGCGCAGAUAUCGGGAAGAACACCCGUGGCGAAGGCGGCUCUCUGGAACGCAACUGACGCUGAGACGCGAAAGCCAGGGGAGCAAACGGG
rnacentral:rRNA from 1 species